GCCCGCCUAGCUCAAUCGGAUAGAGCGUCAGACUCUUAGGCGGUGCUUAUAAUCUGAAGGCUGCGAGUUCGACCCUCGCGGUGGGCU
rnacentral:tRNA from 1 species